UAGCCGUAGCCUCUUCUUCCACCCCUGCUCUGUUUCCUCUCCUUCUCUUCCAACUGCAGCUACCACUACCGUAGCUGCCUCCCCUUCUCCUCUUCCUCUCCUUCCCUUGUUCCUUCCUCUCCCUCUUUCCUUGCCACAGCUGCAGCUGCCACAGCCGCAGCCGCUGCUACUUCUUUCCCUUCUCCUCUUCCUUCUCCUUCCUUUCUUCUUCUUCUCUUCUUCUCCUUCCUCCCC
rnacentral:lncRNA from 1 species